CAGGACGAACGCUGGCGGCGUGCUUAACACAUGCAAGUCGAACGGAAAGGCCCUGCUUUUGUGGGGUGCUCGAGUGGCGAACGGGUGAGUAACACGUGAGUAACCUGCCCUUGACUUUGGGAUAACUUCAGGAAACUGGGGCUAAUACCGGAUAGGAGCUCCUGCUGCAUGGUGGGGGUUGGAAAGUUUCGGCGGUUGGGGAUGGACUCGCGGCUUAUCAGCUUGUUGGUGGGGUAGUGGCUUACCAAGGCUUUGACGGGUAGCCGGCCUGAGAGGGUGACCGGCCACAUUGGGACUGAGAUACGGCCCAGACUCCUACGGGAGGCAGCAGUGGGGAAUAUUGCACAAUGGGCGGAAGCCUGAUGCAGCAACGCCGCGUGCGGGAUGACGGCCUUCGGGUUGUAAACCGCUUUCGCCUGUGACGAAGCGUGAGUGACGGUAAUGGGUAAAGAAGCACCGGCUAACUACGUGCCAGCAGCCGCGGUGAUACGUAGGGUGCGAGCGUUGUCCGGAUUUAUUGGGCGUAAAGGGCUCGUAGGUGGUUGAUCGCGUCGGAAGUGUAAUCUUGGGGCUUAACCCUGAGCGUGCUUUCGAUACGGGUUGACUUGAGGAAGGUAGGGGAGAAUGGAAUUCCUGGUGGAGCGGUGGAAUGCGCAGAUAUCAGGAGGAACACCAGUGGCGAAGGCGGUUCUCUGGGCCUUUCCUGACGCUGAGGAGCGAAAGCGUGGGGAGCGAACAGGCUUAGAUACCCUGGUAGUCCACGCUGUAAACGGUGGGUACUAGGUGUGGGGUCCAUUCCACGGGUUCCGUGCCGUAGCUAACGCUUUAAGUACCCCGCCUGGGGAGUACGGCCGCAAGGCUAAAACUCAAAGGAAUUGACGGGGCCCCGCACAAGCGGCGGAGCAUGCGG
rnacentral:rRNA from 1 species